rnacentral:rRNA from 1 species
CUACGUGCCAGCAGCCGCGGUAAUACGUAGGUGGCAAGCGUUGUCCGGAAUUAUUGGGCGUAAAGCGCGCGCAGGCGGAUUGGUCAGUCUGUCUUAAAAGUUCGGGGCUUAACCCCGUGAUGGGAUGGAAACCGCCAAUCUAGAGUAUCGGAGAGGAAAGUGGAAUUCCUAGUGUAGCGGUGAAAUGCGUAGAUAUUAGGAAGAACACCAGUGGCGAAGGCGACUUUCUGGACGAAAACUGACGCUGAGGCGCGAAAGCCAGGGGAGCGAACGGGAUUAGAUACCCCGGUAGUCCUGGCCGUAAACGAUGGGUACUAGGUGUAGGAGGUAUCGACCCCUUCUGUGCCGGAGUUAACGCAAUAAGUACCCCGCCUGGGGAGUACGACCGCAAGGUUGAAACUCAAAGGAAUUGACGGGGGCCCGCACAAGCGGUGGAGUAUGUGGUUUAAUUCGACGCAACGCGAAGAACCUUACCAGGUCUUGACAUUGAUGGACAGAACUAGAGAUAG